rnacentral:lncRNA from 1 species
AGCAAAUAGAAUAAACACUCCAAUAAAAACUUAGGAAUUGACCAGUAUCAAUCAAUAUCAAACAAUAUUAUUUGAGGCCCUGGUGUGUGUGUAUACAUACACGCAAAUAAUAUUGUUUCAUUUUAAUGUUUCUUUUUGUGUUAUUUUAUUUAUUUAUUUAUUUUUAACUUGUAAGUUCAGGGAUGCAUGUGCAGGAUGUGCAGGUUUGCUACACAGUUUGUUGUACCAAUUAUUUCGUCACCCAGACAUUAAGCCUAGUAUCCAUUAAUAUCAGCAUUUAAAGCUGUAAGUUUCACUCUAAAGCAUUGGUUUUUCUGCAUCGCACAAUUUUGAUCUGUUGUAUUUUCAUUAUUGUUCAGUUAAUCUAAUUUCCUUGGUUAUUUCUUUUUGACCCAUGAAUUGUCCUAAUUUCUAAAUAUUUCUGUAUUUUCUAAAUGUGUAGUGUUAUUAAUCUCUAAAUUAAUUCCAUUGCAAUCAGAGAAAGUAUUCUGUAUAAUUUUAAUACUUUUAAAUUUAUUGAAGCUAAAAGUUUUAUGGCCAAUUACAUUUCCCAUCAUGGUGAAUCAUAAAUGCAUUAUACUAACUGGAAAUAGAUAUGCCUUUUAUAAAUGUUGGGUAUAAUGUUUUAUAAAUAUCAAAUAGGGGAAAGUAGUUGAUAAUGCUGUUCAAAUAUUCCUUACUGAAUUUUUGUCAAGUUUUUUAAUGAAUUGCUGAAAAUUGUUAAAAUCUAUUAUAAUGUGAAAUUCUCCAUUUUUAUUUUAAUUCUGAAAAUUUUUUCUUAAUGCUUCUAAAUAUCAAUUAGUUGAAAAUGUUUGGUAUGCGUGUUCAAAUCCUGCCUAUCUUCCCUGUUCUUUGUUUAAUUCCUUUAGGAUUCUGAAAGACGGUGUUAAAGUCUCCUACUUCGAAUUGUAUAUUCUUCCCUUUAAUUUUAUUAAUGUUUGCUUCAUGUAUUUAAAGGCUCUGUUGUAAUUAGCCUACAGUUUUGUCAUUCUUUUCUUUUCCUGAGAAAUUAACCCUUUUAUCCUCAUGAAAUGUCCCUCUUAACUGUGGUAAAAUAAUACUGAAGUGUAUUUUAUCUGAUACUCAUAUAGUCAGCCCAGUUAUCUUAUGCUUACUCGUUACAUGCUAUAUAUUUUUUUUCUAUCCAUUUACUUUCCACCUGUCUGUGUCUUUAGAUUUAAAAUAUAUUUCUUAUAGGCAUAAUAUAGUUACAUACUGAUUUUUAAAAUCUGGUGAUCUCUGUUUUUUAAAUGGGAGUUUUUGACCAUUAUCAUGUAAUGUAAUGAUUGAUAAUAUACCUAUAUAUUUAAGUCUACCAUUUAAUUGUUUUUUGUUUUUUGUACCCUCUUUUCAUUUCUUCUUCUGCUCCAGCAUUCUUUUAUAUUAAAAAAUAUUUUUUAUAAUUUUAUUUCAACUAUCCUUUAGCAUCUAACCAUUCAUCUUUGUCUUAUUUCUUUUUAGAGGUUGCUGUAUGGAUUAGAGUAUACAUGUUUAAUAUCUCACAAUCUACUCCAAGUCAAUGUUGGACCACUUCACAUAAAAUCUAGGCACCUUGCAGCCAUAUGGAUUCCCUUUUCUCAUCCGCUACAUUCAUUUACUUUAUAGCUGACUUAUGUGUUACAUCUUCAAACAUUACAAACCCCUUCAGACAUUGUACUAAUUUUGGCUUUAUAUAGUUAUACAAAUUCAUUUAACAGAAAAAUGAUCUUUUAAAUAUUUACCCAGAUAUUUAUCAUUUCAAAUGAUCUUCAUUCAUCCCUGGAAAAAUCUAAAUUUCCCUCUGAUAUCAUUUCACAUUAGCCCAAGAUCUCCCUUUAGCAUUUCUUAUAACGAAAGUCUAAUGGCAACAAAUUACCUUCGUUUCCUUUAGCUGAAGAUGCUGCUAUGUUACCUUCAUUACUGAAGGAUAUUUUCGGAGGCCAUGGAUUUCUAAGUUGAUAAUUUUUUUUUCUUUUCUCUCACUCUAAGCACUUUAAUGAUGUUGAUACGUGAUUUUCUGGCCUCCACUUUCCUGAUGAGAAAUGCAUAGUCUCUUGAAUUGUUUUUAUCCAGUAUCCGAUGCAUCAUUUUUCUCUCAGCCACUUAAAAAAUUUCCCUAAAAGCAAUUUUAUUUACUAUGUCUAAACAUAGUUUUAUUUGGAUUUAUUCUAGUUGGAGUUUGCUGAGAUUCUUGAAUCAGUAAAUUCAUGUCUUUCACCAAUUUUGGGAUGUUUUUGGCCAUUGAAUCUUAAAAUACUAUUUUCUGACCAAAUUUAUCUCUGUUCUCUUUCUGGAACUCCAAGGAUAUGUAUAUUAGAUGUUUUGAUAUUAUUUUCAAGUUUCUGAGGCUCUGUUAAUUUUAUAAAAAUCUUUUAUAUAUCUCUUCUUAGUUUCUGCUGAUUUAACCAAUUUCCUCUGUCAUCUUCUGUCUGCUACAGAGCUCAGUCCAGUGAUUUAUUUAUUUCAUAUAUUGUAUUUUUCUGCCCUAAAUUUUACACUUGUUUCUUUUUUAUAUUUUCUGUGUCUCUGCUAAGAUUUACUAUCUUUUGAUUUAUUUCAAAUAUAUUUUUCUUUACUUUUAAGUGUAGAUAUAAUAGUAGGUUUCAAGUUAUUUUCUGAUAAUUCAGACAUCUCGUUUAUCUCAGGGCAUUAGACUGUUGAUUUUACUGUCCCUUGAUAAUUUGUCACAUUUUUCUAAAAUUUUAGUGUGCUGCUUUAAUCCUGUCCUCUGCCUGCCUGGUCUAAUGGUCUACCUGAGACAUGUGUGGGACUCAUACAUGGAAAUAGAGGCUCUCCCUCUCUGACUCUCUUUCCUCCAGUUUUACCUGCUUACUGUUCACCAGUGGAAAUCUCCCAGAACUCCUUCCCUCCAUUUCAGGCCAGACAGAGUUCCAGCUGUUUGCUGUGCACCUUUCCUUGACUGUGGUCCACACUCGGUAAAGCCACCAACAAGGAGAAACUCACUCCCUAGUCAAUUGCUUCUCCAAGUUUUGGUGCCACUCCACAGUCUGCCUUCUUUUGGUGUAUUCAUUAGUUUACUUAGGUAGUUGGAUUUUGCACUCUGUCUAUUGUUUAUAGUUAUUAUUAGCAAUAGGACGGUUCUGUGGAGGCUCACACUGCUAUACCGGAAGAGUAAACCCACAAAGUUGUGAUAUGUAGUGUCUAUAUUGUAAAUCAGUUAUGGAUCCUUUUACAUUUUAAUUCUUUUAAUUAUUUUGAACCCAGGAGUUGUUUAGUAAUGGUGUUUCAAUUUCUAAAUAUGUGGGUGAUUUUUAACUUGUCUUUUUGUUUUAAAAGCUUGAUUGCAUGGUGGUCAGAGAUCUUGUUCUGCACACGCACACACACAGACACACAAAGAGAUGCUCUUCAACUUAAGAUGGAGUUAUGUCUCAAUAAGCCCAUUAAAAAUUGAAAAUAUUGUAAGUCAAAAAUACAUUUAAUAGUACACACACUUAAUUUACUCAACAUUGUAGCUUAGCCUAGCCUACCUUAAAUAUGGUCAGAAUACUUACAUUAGCCUACAGUUGUGCUAAAUCAUCUAAAAGAAAGCCCAUUUUGUAAUAAAGUAUUAUAUGUCUUGUACACUUUAUUAAAUGCUGUACUGAAAGUGAAAAUGGAAUCGUUUUUGCACCAUCAUAAAGUCAACAAAAUCGUUAGAUGGAAGCAUGGUAAGUCAGGGAGGGUCUGUAUUUAGACAUACACAGAGACUCUCUUUAUGACCUCAUGCACAAUCGAUUUUUGUAUAUUUUUAUAUGUAUACUUGGAAAAAAUAUUCUUUAUCUGUUGGUUGCCUAACUCUAAUUAUUUCCCUGUAAGUUACCCUUGCAGAUUCUUCCUCUGCUUGACCUAUACAUAGAAUGUGUUGAAAUAUCCCACUAGAAUACUAUUGUUUACAUCUAAUUUAUGGAUUAGAGUAUAGAUAUUGGAUUACUUUUUCCCUGUAAGUCUAUUUAUUUCUUUCUGUAUAUGUUUGGAGGCUAUUUUGCUAAGAGUAGGCAUGGUAAAUAUUGCUAUAUCUUAAUGUGAAAUUAAAAUAUUUAUAUCUGUGUCAUAACCCUCUUUAUGAAAAAUAAUAUUUUGGUCUUAAGGUUUAUUGAAUGUUAUUAAGGUAGUCAUACCAAGUUUCUUUUGGUGAGCAUUUUUCUGAAAGGUCAUUUUUCCAUCCUUCCACUUCUAGUCUUUGCAGGUCUGUAAGUUUGAGGAAUGACUCUUCUAAUUAGCACAUAUUGAACAUAUACAUUUUAAUUUCAGUUUGUCUAGUUCCAUAAAAAGUCUUGUAAGAAUUUUGAUGAGAAUUGCAUUGAAUUUAUGAAUUAAAGUGGGACAACUGACAUUUUAAAGAUGUUGAACAUAAUAGAUCUUCGCCUUCAUUUAUGCCUUCACAUAAAUGAACAUAAUAGAUCUUUGCCUUUAUUUGGGUCUUCUCGCUGUCCUUCAGCAACACUUUAUUAUUUUCUCUUUAACAGACUUUUGUGCCUUAAAUUUUUGUUUCUUUUGUUUUUACACACAGAGACUUUGGGAAACUUUUAUUAAUUUGAAUAAUAUGUCCGUUGAUGCAAUGAAACUGGCAUUAAUGUCAUUUUUUUUCCUUUUUAUACCUUUUAUUUAUUUCUCUUGUUUUACUCUACUGUAUUCAAGUAUCCUUGGAUUGUUCCAGAUUUUAAAGACAAGGUGUCUGGAGGUUGUAUCCUGAAGUACUGCAUUUGCUGUGAAUUUUUGUAGAUAACCUAUAUCAAGUUUUAAAAGUUCUUUCCCCUUUAUAGCUUUCUCAGAGCUUUUAUUAAAAAUUGAGUUAAAUUUUUGAAAUGUACUUUUUGUAUCUAUUUCAAUAGUUGCAUGAUUUUUAUGUAGUGAAUUAUAGCAUGUGGUGUUAAUGUAUUCUUUUACUCCUAACAAAAUCCAAUUUGGUCAUGAGUGAUUUUUUUUAGUGGGUUACCACAUUUGAAUUGUUAAUAUUUUGAAUGAUUUUUAAAAAUCUAUGCUCGUAAAUUAUAUCGACCUACAAUUUUCCCUUUUUAUACUGUCCUUCCCUGGCUUCGAAUCAAAAUUAAACUCACCUCAUAAAAUGAGUUCUUUCAUUUUUUAUUGUGUGGAAAAUUCUUUAUGAAAUUGGAAUGAUCUAUUCAUUGACUGGC